GUAGGGAAUAUUGCGCAAUGGGGGAAACCCUGACGCAGCGACGCCGCGUGAGUGAUGAAGGCCUUCGGGUCGUAAAGCUCUGUUGCAGGGGAAUAAAAAAAUGAAGGUACCCUGUGAGGAAGGAUCGGCUAACUUCGUGCCAGCAGCCGCGGUAAGACGAGGGAUCCUAGCGUUGCUCGGAAUCAUUGGGCGUAAAGAGGGCGUAGGUGGCUUGGUAAGUCAGGUGUGAAAGCCCAGGGCUCAACCCUGGAAGUGCAUUUGAUACUGCUGAGCUUGAGUGUCGGAGAGGUUACCGGAAUACCUGGUGUAGUGGUGAAAUACGUAGAUAUCAGGUGGAACACCGGAGGCGAAGGCGGGUAACUGGACGAACACUGACACAGAGGCCCGAAAGCGUGGGGAUCAAACAGGAUUAGAUACCCUGGUAGUCC
rnacentral:rRNA from 1 species